rnacentral:rRNA from 1 species
GGAUAACGUUUGGAAACGAACGCUAAUACCGUAUGAUAUUAUUGAGCUGCAUGGCUUGAUAAUCAAAGGAGCAAUCCGCUGAAAGAUGGGCUCGCGUCCGAUUAGGUAGUUGGCGGGGCAACGGCCCACCAAGCCGACGAUCGGUAGCCGGACUGAGAGGUUGAACGGCCACAUUGGGACUGAGACACGGCCCAGACUCCUACGGGAGGCAGCAGUGAGGGAUAUUGGUCAAUGGGGGAAACCCUGAACCAGCAGCGCCGCGUGAGGGAAGACGGUUUUCGGAUUGUAAACCUCUGUCCUCUGUGAAGAUAAUGACGGUAGCAGAGGAGGAAGCUCCGGCUAACUACGUGCCAGCAGCCGCGGUAAUACGUAGGGAGCAAGCGUUGUCCGGAUUUACUGGGUGUAAAGGGUGCGUAGGCGGCUUUGCAAGUCAGAAGUGAAAUCCAUGGGCUUAACCCAUGAACUGCUUUUGAAACUGCAGAGCUUGAGUGGAGUAGAGGUAGGCGGAAUUCCCGGUGUAGCGGUGAAAUGCGUAGAGAUCGGGAGGAACACCAGUGGCGAAGGCGGCCUGCUGGGCUCUAACUGACGCUGAGGCACGAAAGCGUGGGUAGCAAACAGGAUUAGAUACCCUGGUAGUCCACGCUGUAAACGAUGAUUACUAGGUGUGGGUGGACUGACCCCAUCCGUGCCGGAG